CUCUAAGUACACCUACACUAACUAAUAUUUCUUGACGGCUUCAUUCCCUCCUUGAUCGUGAAUUAAGAAGCUAAGUGAGCAGGCAGGGGAUUGUAUCUACCUUCCUAACAUAAUAUCCACAGGUGGAUAGAGUUGAGGAAGUUCGACAGAAACAAACGCUUUACAACGCCACAGAGAAAUC
rnacentral:ribozyme from 1 species